rnacentral:rRNA from 1 species
GUUUGAUCCUGGCUCAGAACGAACGCUGGCGGCAGCCUAACACAUGCAAGUCGAGCGCGCCCUUCGGGGUGAGCGGCGGACGGGUUAGUAACGCGUGGGAACGUGCCCAGAUCUAAGGAAUAGCCACUGGAAACGGUGAGUAAUACCUUAUACGCCCUUCGGGGGAAAGAUUUAUCGGAUUUGGAUCGGCCCGCGUUAGAUUAGGUACGUUGGUGGGGUAAUGGCCGUACCAAGCCGUACGAUCCUAUAGCUGGUUUUAGAGGAUGAUCAGCAACACUGGGACUGAGACACGGCCCAGACUCCUACGGGAGGCAGCAGUGGGGAAUCUUGGACAAUGGGGGCAACCCUGAUCCAGCCAUGCCGCGUGAGUGAUGAAGGCCUUAGGGUCGUAAAGCUCUUUCGCCUGUGAUGAUAAUGACAGUAGCAGGUAAAGAAACCCCGGCUAACUCCGUG